GACAGGCGUAGGCGAUGGAUAACAGGUUGAUAUUCCUGUACCACCUAGCAUCGUUUUAAUCGAUGGGGGGACGCAGUAGGAUAGGCGAAGCGUACGAUUGGAUUGUACGUCUAAGCAGUGAGAUUGAGUGUUAGGCAAAUCCGGCACUCUUAAGAUUGAGCUGUGAUGGGGAGAGGAAAUUGUUUCCUCGAGUCGUUGAUUUCACACUGCCGAGAAAAGCCUCUAGAUAGAUAAUAGGUGCCCGUACCGCAAACCGACACAGGUAGUCAAGAUGAGAAUUCUAAGGUGAGCGAGCGAACUCUCGUUAAGGAACUCGGCAAAAUGACCCCGUAACUUCGGGAGAAGGGGUGCUCUUUAGGGUGCAAGCCCAGAAGAGCCGCAGUGAAUAGGCCCAAGCGACUGUUUAUCAAAAACACAGGUCUCUGCUAAACCGUAAGGUGAUGUAUAGGGGCUGACGCCUGCCCGGUGCUGGAAGGUUAAGAGGAGUGGUUAGCUUCUGCGAAGCUACGAAUCGAAGCCCCAGUAAACGGCGGCCGUAACUAUAACGGUCCUAAGGUAGCGAAAUUCCUUGUCGGGUAAGUUCCGACCCGCACGAAAGG
rnacentral:rRNA from 1 species